UACGGGGGGAGCAAGCGUUGUUCGGAUUUACUGGGCGUAAAGGGCGCGCAGGCGGCUGCUCAAGUCAGGCGUGAAAGGCCUGGGCUCAAACCCGGGAAUUGCGCUUUGAGACUGGGCUGGCUUGAGUGCGGGAGAGGAUGGUGGAAUUCCCAGUGUAGAGGUGAAAAUUCGUAGAUAUUGGGAAGAACACCGGUGGCGAAGGCGGCCAUCUGGACCCGCAACUGACGCUGAGGCGCGAAAGCGUGGGGAGCAAACAGGG
rnacentral:rRNA from 1 species